rnacentral:rRNA from 1 species
AAAUUGAAGAGUUUGAUCAUGGCUCAGAUUGAACGCUGGCGGCAGGCCUAACACAUGCAAGUCGAACGGUAACAGGAAUCAGCUUGCUGAUUUGCUGACGAGUGGCGGACGGGUGAGUAAUGUCUGGGAAACUGCCUGAUGGAGGGGGAUAACUACUGGAAACGGUAGCUAAUACCGCAUAACGUCGCAAGACCAAAGAGGGGGACCUUCGGGCCUCUUGCCAU